GGCAACAUGGCCGAGUGGUCUAAGGCGCUGGAAUUAGGUUAUUUUCCUCAUCCAGUCCGAAAGGGCGCGAGUUCGAACCUCGCUGUUGUCA